GACACGCUGGCGGCGUGCCUAACACAUGCAAGUCGAACGAAGCAUAGCAAUAUGCUUAGUGGCGGACGGGUGAGUAACGCGUGAACAAUCUGCCCUGUACAAAGGAAUAGCCUCGGGAAACCGGGAUUAAAACCGUAUGACACUUUAGUAUCGCAGUGAUAAGAAAGUCAAAUCGAUUAGAGGUAUGGGAUGAGUUCGCGUCUGAUUAGCUGGUUAGGCGGGGUAACGGCCCACCAAGGCGACGAUCAGUAGCCGGCCUGAGAGGGUGAACGGCCACACUGGAACUGAGACACGGUCCAGACUCCUACGGGAGGCAGCAGUGGGGAAUAUUGCACAAUGGAGGGAACUCUGAUGCAGCGACGCCGCGUGAGUGAAGAAGGUCUUCGGAUCGUAAAACUCUGUCCUUGGUGAAGAAAAGGACGGUAGCCAAGGAGGAAGCCCCGGCUAACUACGUG
rnacentral:rRNA from 1 species